GAUGGCAGCCGGUGGUCUGAGUCGCUCCGAGCGCAAAGCGGCUGAGCGGGUCCGGAGGUUGCGGGAGGAGCAGCAGAGGGAGCGCCUCCGCCAGGUACGCCGCCGCCGCUCCCCGGCCCGGCCAUGCCCGGCCCGCGCCGCCGCUCACCGCCUGCCUGCCCGCAGGUGUCGCGCAUCCUGAGGAAGGCGGCGGCGGAGCGCAGCGCCGAGGAGGGCCGGCUGCUGGCCGAGAGCGCGGACCUGGUAACGGAGCUGCAGGGCCGGAGCCGGCGGCGCGAGGGCUUGAAGCGGCGGCAGGAGGAGGUGUGCGACGACCCGGAGGAGCUGCGGGGGAAGGUCCGGGAGCUGGCCAGCGCCGUCCGGAACGCCAAAUACCUGGUCGUCUACACAGGCGCGGGAAUCAGCACGGCAGCGUCUAUCCCAGACUACCGGGGCCCUAAUGGAGUGUGGACACUGCUUCAGAAAGGGAGAAGCGUUAGUGCUGCGGACCUGAGUGAGGCCGAGCCAACCCUCACCCACAUGAGCAUCACCCGUUUGCAUGAGCAGAAACUGGUAAGAGCCCUGGGUGGCUGGUACACUUGCCAGGGACCAGGCAGAGCACCUUGGUGCCUAGUGGGCAGCUGCAUCCUCCCUCUGUCUGCCAGUUGACUCC
rnacentral:sRNA from 1 species